UUUCCGUAGGUGAACCUGCGGAAGGAUCAUUACCGAGACCAUGUACUUUAGGGUUGAUCUCCGACCCGUGAAUGUUUAUGCUUUAGUAGAUUUAGAAGGCCAUGGAAACACGAUGGGCUCCGGCUUAUGCGUGCCUGCCAGAUGAAACAAACUCAGUGUCUAGGGAUGUCUGAGUACUAUAUAAUAGUUAAAACUUUCAACAACGGAUCUCUUGGUUCUG
rnacentral:misc_RNA from 1 species